rnacentral:rRNA from 1 species
UACGAAGGGGGCUAGCGUUGCUCGGAAUUACUGGGCGUAAAGGGCGCGUAGGCGGACAGUUUAGUCAGAGGUGAAGCCCAGGGCUCAACCUUGGAAUUGCCUUUGAUACUGGCUGUCUUGAGUUCGGGAGAGGUGAGUGGAAUGCCGAGUGUAGAGGUGAAAAUUUCGUAGAUAUUCGGCGGAACACCAGUGGCGAAGGCGACUCACUGGCGACUGUUGAC